UGAUGAUGCUGUUACCAGGAACCACUUCACUCGUGAAAAAUUACGCAGUCUGCAAAGCUGUGUACUGUUGAGUUCUGAUACAUUGAAGAAAUCAGAUUUAACUGCUCCUCAAGAAAUGCUGUAUAAAAAUAAAUUCAUGCGGGAUUUAUUAUUCGCCCCACCUCAUAGACCGAGAAACCAAGAUGUGAGACCAGAGACUAGGCUGAAGCGCUGUGCACAGCACCGUGCUUUGCCUAUAAUUGAUGUUGGAUGAAUAAUCAUUGACCGCAGUGGAGGCCGCUGUGGUCUGCGGCCCCCAGCCCAGCGCCGCCAGCCAUCUUGUGGUAGCGCCGUCACUCAAAUAAUAAAAAGUAUAGUUCCAGACAGUGGGGCUGGAAGGAAAAGGCGUGUUUGCCUCAUCCCUACAAUAGAGGUCUUGGUCUACUGAGCGGCUUGCACAUGACUCC